rnacentral:tRNA from 1 species
GGCUUUAUAGUCAAUAAUGAUAUUAGACUGCAAUUCUAAAGGAGUAGCUUUGUCUACUAAGGCUU